GCUGAACAGCCCCAACUUUCUCAGCCUAUCUUCAUGCGGGAGGUGCUCCAGUCCCCUGAUCAUCCUCAUGGCCCUCCUCCGGACUUGUUCCAACAGUUCCAUGUCCUUUUUAUGUUGAGGACACCAGAACUGCACACAAUACUCCAAGUAAGGUCUCAUGAGAGCAGAGUAGAGGGGCAGGAUCACCUCCUUCGACCUGCUGGUCACGCUCCUUUUGAUGCAGCCCAGGAUACGGUUGGCUUUCUGGGCUGCAAGCGCACACUGCCAGCUCAUGUUCAUUUUCUCAUCAACCAGCACCCCCAAGUCCUUCUCCACAGGGCUGCUCUGAAUCUCUUCUCUGCCCAGCCUGUAGCUGUGCCUGGGAUUGCUCCAACCCAGGUGUAGGACCUUGAACUUGUCAUGGUUAAACUUCAUGAGGUUGGCAUCAGCCCACCUCACAAGCGUGUCAAGGUUCUCUGUCUGUUUCUGCUGCCCCUGUGUCAAAACAGCCUUCAUUGCUAUCUGAGGGGACUCUGGUCCUGGCCACCCAUCUCUUCCAUGUCUCCUGGCCCUGUCCUGCCCUCAUUUGCCUUCUGUGUUGGUUCAGGGACUGGCCUUAAUAUUCACAACUGCAGAUGGGAGUGCAAAGGUGUUGCUUGACAAACAAUUAUUAAUAGUGAAAGCCUUGCCAUUAGCAUUGUUCUUAACCUGCCCAGACCCUUUUCUCUCUAAGCAGAUUUUGAUGUGUAAUCCCAUUACUGCAUGCAGAAAAAUGCCCCUUUAUCAGUGAGGAGGGCUGUUGUUUCAGUUUGUAUUAUCCUUUCAUUGUCACUCGCUGUGAAAGUGCUCCCAUGUACUGCUGGGCCCGGGGCCCCAGGAUGUGUGCCCUUGAGCAGCCAGGGGUGUUUGAAUGUGCUGUUGUGCACCCUAAUAAGCCAGGACCAUUUUUUUAACUUCUGAGCUGGGGAAAAGGGAGAAAAAAAAAAAAAAAGGAAAGAAAAAGAAAAUGGUCACUUUGGUCACUUUUGAAAAACUGAUUUCACAACUCAUUUGUCAAGCCCUAUAGCAAACCAUUUAUUUUAGCUCCUUUUUGCUCCAUCAAGAGCUGUAUGUUAAAAGGGAGAGGUGAAUUUUGAGAGGCUGGGAACUGAAGGCAGGCUGCAGUGCCACCCACCCUCACUGGCACUUUCCCGGGAGGCCUCCAGCCACAGUUCAGGGGUAGGAGCUGUUAUUUUCCCUGAAUUGACUCUGCUUUCAAAAUCAAAUUAUUUCUUUUGUCAAGUCCCAUAAACAUUGAACACCACAGACUUCGUUUCACUACAGAUAUGAAUGAGUGCCUCUGUAUAGUACUUUCCAUUGACAUGAAAUAUAUAUGUAUAUAUAUAUAUAUGUAAUGGGGAGUGUAAUUAUUGCUCUACUUAAAGGUGACAUUCCACUUCAGUGUAACUUUCAAGUGCAGCUUUUAAGAGAAACCUUGACUUAAAGAGAAGCUGGAAGAGUUUAGAGGUAUGUGUUUUAAUAAGCUUUAAUGAGGUUUAAUAAGCUUGGAGUUAGGGCUGCAGGUUCUAAGACAAAAAAGAACCCAAGAUGAUUUUCCCAUCACUUUCCCAGAUCAGACCCUGUAAGAGUUUAACCUGGAAGUCACUGCUUGAGCACUGGUAGUUCUUAAGGGUAUUUGGAUGCUGCAUGGUACUGUGUGUCUGUCCCCAGACACCAGUCUUUAUUCAGUACAUGUACUUGACCAGAAGGUGAAAGACACAACUUUGUCUUGCUCCAAGACCCUGAUGGUCUUCUUUUUUCUUUUGAUUUGUGCUAAUUGAGUUUAUUGGGUGAUCCUAGUAGGGCACACUCCACCUGCCCAGCCUCAGAGCUUCCUUUCCAACAGCAUACCUUCUUCUCAUUUGUUUACUUGGGUAUACUGGACCACUGUGAAGUAAUUACACAAGCAAUAACACGGGUGUUGCAUUUUCCUGUCAUUGCCUUUUGUAAGACAUAACACACCACUGACAUUGAAAAAGGGUACAAGACUCAGAAGCUGCAUUACUGUUUGCUAGCAAUAUAACCGAUGUACCGUGCUUCUACAGGGGACCUGUCCUCACUCCUCAAAGCAGCUGGCUGUCUUGGGCCCAAUUUAAUUCACAAGGCCAGAUUAUAAAAAAUGUUGGAUCCCUUUACCAACACUCCAUCAAUCUUGCUUCCAUCAUUUUUUGUGCUUUUGCGUAGUUUCAAGCUAGAAGAAAGUUUAAAGAAAUGUGCUAACACUCCCAUAUAGGGUGAGUAAACAUCCCAUUUAUUUCACAAAAAUUACAACAAAAUGAGGGGACUUACUCUAUCUUGUACAGAAUUAAUAAGUAGUUACUUUGGACAUAUUAAAAACUUAUUAAGAACAGCCUGGAGUGAAGUUUCCACAGUCAAACUGUUCUCUGUUUUUCAUUUAAAAAUCAACAAAUACUGAGGUACGUUUUGCCACCUUCUGGUAGAAGUGACCUGAAACUGAACUGUGAAUCCUCCUGAAUGGGAGUUUUACUGAAGCAAAUGGAAAUGUUACCAGAAUGUCCCAUGUUAGAUCACCCACUUCUGGGCAGAGAGGAAACGUAAGGUUGUGCACAAGAGAAACUCCUAUUGUGAAUGGUUUUAAAGUCCUUCAGAUCUCCUAUUUCCAAAUAUUGAGAAUGGGAAGGAUCAGAAACCUUCCCAUAAACCCUGUGCAUUUUGUGUGUUGAAGUCCCUGGCUUGAAUUCAGGUCUCCAGCUGCAUGUAAAUGUUAAUAUUCAAGUAGAACAAAAACAUUAGAAGCAAUUACAGCAUGAACAUCUCUUCUUGUUUAUGUAUAGUAGCUGAUAGCAGAGUCUGUAAUAAUAAUCUGUGUUUAUACAUGUGCUGUUCAAUGUAACAGUUGGGUACAAAAUACUUUUUAACUGUCACAAGAAAGUAACUGGAUUGAUGUCACUUUUUGCUUGUAUGAAUAUAAUUAUUUGCUUUGCAGGGACCAGUUCCACUUUUGUCAUGUUAUUUAUGAUUUUUAAAUACAUUUGUGAUAAAUUAGGCUCUUUUCUAAGGUAAAUAAUACUGGAGCCAAGCAGCUCUCUGUACAUGUGCAUGUUAUCACAGCUGAUAUCAAAUCCAAGUCAGACUCCUUGUCUUGCUUGGAGCUUUCCUUAACCUUUCUGGCUUAUUCAGGGAAAUGCAGACCAGUCUAUUUUCUUAUUUAAAAUACAGCAUUUUGAAAAGCUGAACUUAUUUUUUAAAUCCUUUCUUUUUACAAUUACUGAUUCAGAAAGACUGUAACAAUUGUAUUUUUCUAAACUGCCAAUUGCUUGUGUUGGGAAAUUAUGUAUAGAUAUAUAUUUUAUUCUACAGAUUUCUGUGUAGUUUUGAAACUCUGUUUUCAUAUAUAUCCUCCUGUUUGCUGAAUUUAUCUCAAAAAGCUGUAAGCUUCUGUGUACUGAUCUAUGAAAAUGUGUAAAAAUGUAGCUGCUGACUUUUUACUUAAAUUGUUAGAGCUAAGUUAUCCCUAGUGUUACACCAUGCAAGAUGUACUGGAAGAAAUCAGGUCAUUGUUUCAAAAUGCUGGACAGUGUUACAUGACACUUCCUAAAAUGCCUGGACUGAAAGGUAGGAGAAUUUACCCUAGAAAUGGUGCCAUUUCAGGGCGUGAUUCUACAGUUUAUUCACACUGUUUAGGCCCUUAUUUCAAAAUUACUUCCAUGAAAUUUCAUGGGAAAUAUUAAAAAAUAAGAGUCUAUGAUUUGUGAAUAGCAGUGAUAGAAUAAAGGUCUUUUCUAAUGAAGAAUGGGUCCUUUUAACCAGUUAAAAGGCUGUAUUUUGAGUACUUCAGGGCAACUUCUUGUGUUCUUUUCUGCACUGUGGACUCCUGCUGUGUAUUCUGGAUUUAUUCCAUAGCUGAAAUGCUAGAUUAAAUCCAUCUAAGCCUCAUGCACAGAUGAACUUAAUGGAAAGCCACAGUGAAAUGUUGCAGAAAAUGGCCUGAUCUCAUUCUUCAGAACAAUAAUUAAAGUAACUCACAGCUUUGGCUUCUGUGCACCUGUGAAGCAGAGGCCCUUGCUUUGUACCUUGGCUGUGGUGUAACAUGUAAGGAUUUCUGCUCUCUGCCUGGGAAAUACUGUCAAUUCCUCAGCCUUGUUAGAAGCGUAAUAUUUUCUCAAGUAAAAAAUCUGAUUCUGUAAGACACAUUGGGGAGUUAAAGGGCAGUUGGGACCUGCAAUCAGGCUGCAUUAUUCCAAAAUUUUAUCCCUCAGUGGAAAAAGAAUAAAAAAUGAUGUGGCUUUUCUGUUUGCAAGUAGGACAAAGAGACUGGAAAUUCAUUACCCCAAGCCCUAGCCUUGUGACUGUUCUGUGAUGCUCCACUGUUACCAAUGAACUAUGUUGAAUCAGAUUAUAAAAUCAGAGUAUUUUACUGCAUGUGUCCUUUUUUGUAAUGAAAUAUAGUUAUAUCUGAUGUUGCAGUUACAAUGCAGUAAAUAAACACACAUGUGUUUCUUUUUAA